GAUGAACGCUAGCUACAGGCUUAACACAUGCAAGUCGAGGGGCAGCACAGUUUAGCAAUACAUGGGUGGCGACCGGCGCACGGGUGCGUAACGCGUAUCCAACCUUCCCGUUACUCUUGGAUAGCCUUCCGAAAGGGAGAUUAAUACAAGAUGGUAUUCAAAUUCCGCAUGUUAUUUGAAUUAAAGAUUUAUCGGUAACGGAUGGGGAUGCGUGACAUUAGAUAGUAGGCGGGGUAACGGCCCACCUAGUCUACGAUGUCUAGGGGUUCUGAGAGGAAGGUCCCCCACACUGGAACGGAGACACGGUCCAGAAUCCUACGGGAGGCAGCAGUGAGGAAUAUUGAUCAAUGGUCGGAAGACUGAACCAGCCACGUAGCGUGAAGGAUGAAGGUUCUAUGGAUUGUAAACUUCUUUUAUACGGGAAUAAAACCUCCCACGUGUGGGAGCUUGUAUGUACCGUAUGAAUAAGCAUCGGCUAACUCCGUGCCAGCAGCCGCCGUAAAAC
rnacentral:rRNA from 1 species